rnacentral:lncRNA from 1 species
UGUAAAAAAAAAUUUGUAAGGGUUCCGCGGAACCCAGUGUCUCGCCUACUUUUGCUGUAAAUCGCAGGCUCAACAAAAAUGAGGAAAAAAGUCAAUAAAAAUAUUCCUCUUGAUACUAUCUUAUGAUUGUAAGAAGCUUCUGUCCAAGUUUGGUAAAAAAACUAGGAUAGUUAAUGAAUCUAAUAAAUGUUUUGAAAACUUUAACUGCAGACUGUAUGUAAU